AGGGACCUACGGGGGCCAGCAGUAGGGAAUCUUCCACAAUGGACGAAAGUCUGAUGGAGCAACGCCGCGUGAGUGAAGAAGGGUUUCGGCUCGUAAAGCUCUGUUGGUAGUGAAGAAAGAUAGAGGUAGUAACUGGCCUUUAUUUGACGGUAAUUACUUAGAAAGUCACGGCUAACUAAGUGCCAGCAGCCGCGGGAAUACGUAGGUGGCAAGCGUUGUCCGGAUUUAUUGGGCGUAAAGCGAGUGCAGGCGGGUCCAUAAGUCUUGU
rnacentral:rRNA from 1 species